GACGAACGCUGGCGGCGUGCUUAACACAUGCAAGUCGAACGGAAAGGCCCUGCUUUUGUGGGGUGCUCGAGUGGCGAACGGGUGAGUAACACGUGAGUAACCUGCCCUUGACUUUGGGAUAACUUCAGGAAACUGGGGCUAAUACCGGAUAGGAGCUCCUGCUGCAUGGUGGGGGUUGGAAAGUUUCGGCGGUUGGGGAUGGACUCGCGGCUUAUCAGCUUGUUGGUGGGGUAGUGGCUUACCAAGGCUUUGACGGGUAGCCGGCCUGAGAGGGUGACCGGCGACGGUGGGGCUGGGGUACGGCCCAGAGGGCGACGGGAGGCAGCGGUGGGGAGGGGUGCGGGAUGGGCGGAAGGCUGAUGCAGCAACGCCGCGUGCGGGAUGACGGCCUUCGGGUUGUAAACCGCUUUCGCCUGUGACGAAGCGUGAGUGACGGUAAUGGGUAAAGAAGCACCGGCUAACUACGUG
rnacentral:rRNA from 1 species